rnacentral:rRNA from 1 species
CCUACGGGAGGCAGCAGUAAGGAAUAUUGGUCAAUGGAGGAAACUCUGAACCAGCCAUGCCGCGUGCAGGAAGAAUGCCCCCUGGGUUGUAAACUGCUUUUAUGUACAAAGAAAAUUAGUCUUUUUAGAUUAACUGACGGUAGUACACGAAUAAGGACCGGCUAACUCCGUGCCAGCAGCCGCGGUAAUACGGAGGGUCCAAGCGUUAUCCGGAAUCACUGGGUUUAAAGGGUGCGUAGGUGGUUUGUUAAGUCAGUGGUGAAAUCUUGCAGCUCAACUGUAAAACUGCCAUUGAUACUGACAAACUUGAAUUUAAUCGAUGUGGGCGGAAUAAGUCAUGUAGCGGUGAAUGCGUAGAUAUGACUUAGAACACCGAUUGCGAAGGCAGCUCACAAGGUUAGAUUGACACUGAGGCACGAAAGCGUGGGUAGCGAACAGGAUUAGAUACCCUGGUAGUCCACGCCGUAAACGAUGAUUACUCGUUAUUUAUGCGAUAUAGUAUAAGUGACCAAGCGAAAGCGUUAAGUAAUCCACCUGGGAAGUACGGUCGCAAGGCUGAAACUCAAAUGAAUUGACGG